UAGGGAAUCUUCGGCAAUGGGGGGAACCCUGACCGAGCAACGCCGCGUGAGUGAAGAAGGUUUUCGGAUCGUAAAGCACUGUUGUUAAGGAAGAACGAGUGUGAGAAUGGAAAGUUCAUACUGUGACGGUACUUAACCAGAAAGGGACGGCUAACUACGUGCCAGCAGCCGCGGUAAUACGUAGGUGGCAAGCGUUGUCCGGAUUUAUUGGGCGUAAAGCGAGCGCAGGCGGUCAAUUAAGUCUGAUGUGAAAGCCCCCGGCUCAACCGGGGAGGGUCAUUGGAAACUGGUUGACUUGAGUGCAGAAGAGGAGAGUGGAAUUCCAUGUGUAGCGGUGAAAUGCGUAGAUAUAUGGAGGAACACCAGUGGCGAAGGCGACUCUCUGGUCUGUAACUGACGCUGAGGCUCGAAAGCGUGGGUAGCAAACAGG
rnacentral:rRNA from 1 species